rnacentral:rRNA from 1 species
GACGAACGCUGGCGGCGUGCUUAACACAUGCAAGUCGAACGGAAAGGCCCUGCUUUUGUGGGGUGCUCGAGUGGCGAACGGGUGAGUAACACGUGAGUAACCUGCCCUUGACUUUGGGAUAACUUCAGGAAACUGGGGCUAAUACCGGAUAGGAGCUCCUGCUGCAUGGUGGGGGUUGGAAAGUUUCGGCGGUUGGGGAUGGACUCGCGGCUUAUCAGCUUGUUGGUGGGGUAGUGGCUUACCAAGGCUUUGACGGGUAGCCGGCCUGAGAGGGUGGCCGGGGACAAUGGGACUGAGAGAGGGAGCAGAGGCGAAUGGGAGGCAGCAGGGGGGAGCAUUGUACAGCGGGCGGGAGUGGGAUGAAGAAACGCCGGGGGUGGGAUGACGGUUUUCGGGUUGUAAACAGCAUUAGCCUGUGACGAAGCGGGAGUGACGGUAAUGGGUAAAGAAGCACCGGCUAACUACGUG